rnacentral:rRNA from 1 species
GCGUGAGUGAUGAAGGCCUUAGGGUUGUAAAGCUCUUUUACUAGGGAUGAUAAUGACAGUACCUAGAGAAUAAGCUCCGGCUAACUCCGUGCCAGCAGCCGCGGUAAUACGGAGGGAGCUAGCGUUGUUCGGAAUUACUGGGCGUAAAGCGCGCGUAGGCGGCCAACCAAGUCAGGGGUGAAAUCCCGGGGCUCAACCCCGGAACUGCCCUUGAAACUGGUAGGCUAGAAUAUUGGAGAGGUAAGUGGAAUUCCGAGUGUAGAGGUGAAAUUCGU